rnacentral:rRNA from 1 species
CCCUUAGAUGUUCUGGGCUGCACGCGCGCUACACUGACGCACGCAACAGGUGCCUGCUCCGAGAGGACUGGGUAAUCAUUUGAGUGUGCGUCGUGAUGGGGAUAGAAUAUUGUAAUUAUUACUCUUCAACGAGGAAUUCCUAGUAAGCGCCAGUCAGCAGCUUGCGCUGAUUACGUCCCUGCCCUUUGUACACACCGCCCGUCGCUCCUACCGAUGGGUGAUCCGGUGAAUGAUUCGGACUUCAGCGGCUCCCCUGGGGUGCGCCGGAGAAAGUUUUGUGAACCUCAUCACUUGGAGGAAGGAGAAGUCGUAACA